CCUACGGGUGGCACCAGUAGGGAAUCUUCGGCAAUGGACGAAAGUCUGACCGAGCAACGCCGCGUGAGUGAAGAAGGUUUUCGGAUCGUAAAACUCUGUUGUUAGAGAAGAACAAGUAGGAGAGUAACUGCUCUUACCUUGACGGUAUCUAACCAGAAAGCCACGGCUAACUACGUGCCAGCAGCCGCGGUAAUACGUAGGUGGCAAGCGUUGUCCGGAUUUAUUGGGCGUAAAGCGAGCGCAGGCGGUCUUUUAAGUCUGAUGAGAAAGCCCCCGGCUUAACCGGGGAGGGUCAUUGGAAACUGGGGAACUUGAGUGCAGAAGAGGAGAGUGGAAUUCCAUGUGUAGCGGUGAAAUGCGUAGAUAUAUGGAGGAACACCAGUGGCGAAGGCGGCUCUCUGGUCUGUAACUGACGCUGAGGCUCGAAAGCGUGGGGAGCAAACAGGAUUAGAUACCCCUGUAGUC
rnacentral:rRNA from 1 species